rnacentral:lncRNA from 1 species
GAGGGUGCCGGCAUGCUGGCAAAGGCUUCUCCAUGGCAUAUGCAUAGGGUUAAAUCACAGCAGCUACUGCUCGUUUUUAGCCCGAGUAUCUGUUUCCUCCCUUAACCCCAGCCUCCAAGGGUGAAUGGCCUUUGUUUGAUCUGAGCCUUAAUAUUACGGCUCCGUACAUAAACAUGCUUCCGUAAGGAAGGAGCUCCCUUUGUUUGGCUGCCUUGGGAUACUAAACCGCCUGCGUUUCCUCCUGCUGUUUCAGGGUUUCCAGCUGCUGAGCGCGCGGAUAAAGCCCUGCUGCAGGGACGUUAGGAGCAGAGCUGAAAAUACAGCCAUCAUACAGGAGAGAAAAGAAAUAAGCAGAGGCAUCAUCGGUCAGAGACUCCCCCGGUACUGACAAGA